rnacentral:lncRNA from 1 species
UGAGUUAUGCAUUUUUAAGUCUUUUGAAAUUGGUAUGAAUGUGUUUAAGAUGGAUUAGCAUUUAUUAGGAAAAAGUUUUGAAAAUCACUUGACAAAAGUCAAGGUUUAUUGAGAAAAUGGUCCAAGUUAAAAACAAGAAGGUUUUAAAAAAAGAGGGAUGAUUUUGAAAAUUAAAGAAGGAAAGGAGAAGAAGAGACUAUCCUAGAGCAUAAAGUAAAAGCUAGGGAGGAAGGAUCCGACCAAAAG